GAUGAAGAACGCAGUGAAAUGCGAUAAGUAAUGUGAAUUGCAGAAUUCAGUGAAUCAUCGAAUCUUUGAACGCACAUUGCGCCCGCCAGUAUUCUGGCGGGCAUGCCUGUUCGAGCGUCAUUACAACCCUCAGGCCCCCGGGCCUGGCGUUGGGGAUCGGCGGAGCCCCCCGUGGGCACACGCCGUCCCCCAAAUACAGUGGCGGUCCCGCCGCAGCUUCCAUCGCGUAGUAGCUAACACCUCGCGACUGGAGAGCGGCGCGGCCACGCCGUAAAACACCCAACUCUUCUGAAGUUGACCUCGAAUCAGGUAGGAAUACCCGCUGAACUUAAGCAUAUCAAUAAGCGAGGA
rnacentral:misc_RNA from 1 species